rnacentral:rRNA from 1 species
GAGUUUGAUCAUGGCUCAGAUUGAACGCUGGCGGCAGGCUUAACACAUGCAAGUCGAACGGUAGCAGGAGAAAGCUUGCUUUCUUGCUGACGAGUGGCGGACGGGUGAGUAAUGCUUGGGAAUCUGGCUUAUGGAGGGGGAUAACUACUGGAAACGGUAGCUAAUACCGCGUAAUAUCGAGAGAUUAAAGACUGGGACCUACGGGCCAGUUGCCAUAAGAUGAGCCCAAGUGGGAUUAGGUAGUUGGUGGGGUAAAGGCCUACCAAGCCCGCGAUCUCUAGCUGGUCUGAGAGGAUGACCAGCCACACUGGAACUGAGACACGGUCCAGACUCCUACGGGAGGCAGCAGUGGGGAAUAUUGCACAAUGGGGGGAACCCUGAUGCAGCCAUGCCGCGUGAAUGAAGAAGGCCUUCGGGUNGUAAAGUUCUUUCGGUGGUGAGGAAGGUAUCAACUUUAAUAGAGUUGUAAUGACGUUCCC